rnacentral:pre_miRNA from 1 species
UGAGGCUCGUUCCUCAAGCAGGACUCAAAGAACCCGAUCAGCUUGUCGAGCACGACAAGGUGAUCGUGUUUUCUUAGUCCUGCACGAGGAAGGAGCCCCA